AUGAACGCUGGCGGCGUGCCUAAUACCUGCAAGUCGAGCGAACAGACGAGGAGCUUGCUCCUCUGACGUUAGCGGCGGACGGGUGAGUAACACGUGGAUAACCUACCUAUAAGACUGGAAUAACUUCGGGAAACCGGAGCUAAUACCGGAUAAUAUAUUGAACCGCAUGGUUCAAUAGUGAAAGACGGUUUUGCUGUCACUUAUAGAUGGAUCCGCGCCGCAUUAGCUAGUUGGUAAGGUAACGGCUUACCAAGGCAACGAUGCGUAGCCGACCUGAGAGGGUGAUCGGCCACACUGGAACUGAGACACGGUCCAGACUCCUACGGGAGGCAGCAGUAGGGAAUCUUCCGCAAUGGGCGAAAGCCUGACGGAGCAACGCCGCGUGAGUGAUGAAGGUCUUCGGAUCGUAAAACUCUGUUAUUAGGGAAGAACAAAUGUGUAAGUAACUAUGCACGUCUUGACGGUACCUAAUCAGAAAGCCACGGCUAACUACGUG
rnacentral:rRNA from 1 species